rnacentral:rRNA from 1 species
AGUGAACGCUGGCGGUAGGCCUAACACAUGCAAGUCGAACGGCAGCACAGUAAGAGCUUGCUCUUACGGGUGGCGAGUGGCGGACGGGUGAGGAAUACAUCGGAAUCUACUUUUUCGUGGGGGGUAACGUAGGGAAACUUACGCUAAUACCGCAUACGACCUACGGGUGAAAGCAGGGGAUCUUCGGACCUUGCGCGAUUGAAUGAGCCGAUGUCGGAUUAGCUAGUUGGCGGGGUAAAGGCCCACCAAGGCGACGAUCCGUAGCUGGUCUGAGAGGAUGAUCAGCCACACUGGAACUGAGACACGGUCCAGAUUCCUACGGGAGGCAGCAGUGGGGAAUAUUGGACAAUGGGCGCAAGCCUGAUCCAGCCAUACCGCGUGGGUGAAGAAGGCCUUCGGGUUGUAAAGCCCUUUUGUUGGGAAAGAAAAGCAGCAGGUUAAUACCCCGCUGUUCUGACGGUACCCAAAGAAUAAGCACCGGCUAACUUCGUG